rnacentral:rRNA from 1 species
UACGUAGGGUGCAAGCGUUGUCCGGAUUUAUUGGGCGUAAAGAGCUCGUAGGCGGUUUGUCGCGUCGGAUGUGAAAACCCAGGGCUCAACCCUGGGCCUGCAUUCGAUACGGGCAGACUAGAGUAUGGCAGGGGAGACUGGAAGUUCCUGGUGUAGCGGUGAAAUGCGCAGAGUAUCAGGAGGAACACCGGUGGCGAAGGCGGGUCUCUGGGCCAAAACUGACGCUGAGGAGCGAAAGCGUGGGGAGCGAACAGGA